rnacentral:rRNA from 1 species
AGUGAACGCUGGGUAGGCCUACCACAUGCAAGUCGAACGGCAGCACAGUAAGCGCUUGCGCUUAGGGGUGGCGAGUGGCGGACGGGUGAGGCGUAAAUAGGAAUCUACUUUUUCGUGGGGGAUUACGUAGGGAAAGUUAUGAUAAUACCGCAUACGACCUACGGGUGGGAGGAGGGGAUAUUGGGUCCUUGGGUGGUUGAAGGAGCCGAUGUCGGAUUCGCUAGUUGGGGGGGUAAAGGUCCCCCAGGGCGACGAUCCGUAUCUGGUCGGAGGGGGGGGUCGGCGACACUGGAGCUGGGACACGGUCCAGACUCCUGCGAGAGGCAGCAGUGUGCAAUAGGAGACAAUGGGCGCAAGCCUGGUCCAGCCAUACCGCGUGUGUUACGAAGGCCUUGGGGUUGUAAUGCCCUUUUGUUGGUAAAGAAAAGCAGCAGGUUAAUACCCCGCUGUUCUGACGGUACUCAAAGAAUAAGCACCGGCUAACUUCGUG